rnacentral:rRNA from 1 species
AAUCAGGUGUUGAGUGUAAGUGCACAAGGGAGCUUGACUGUGAGACCGACGGGUCGAGCAGGGACGAAAGUCGGGACUAGUGAUCCGGCAGUGGCUUGUGGAAGCGCUGUCGCUCAACGGAUAAAAGGUACCCCGGGGAUAACAGGCUGAUCUUCCCCAAGAGUCCAUAUCGACGGGAUGGUUUGGCACCUCGAUGUCGGCUCGUCGCAUCCUGGGGCUGGAGUCGGUCCCAAGGGUUGGGCUGUUCGCCCAUUAAAGCGGUACGCGAGCUGGGUUUAGAACGUCGUGAGACAGUUCGGUCCCUAUCCGCUGCGCGCGCAGGAAUAUUGAGAAGGGCUGUCCCUAGUACGAGAGGACCGGGACGGACGAACCUCUGGUGUGCCAGUUGUCCUGCCAAGGGCAUGGCUGGUUGGCUACGUUCGGAAAGGAUAACCGCUGAAAGCAUCUAAGCGGGAAGCCUGCUUCGAGAUGAGUAUUCCCACCCCCUUUGAGGGGUUAAGGCUCCCAGUAGACGACUGGGUUGAUAGGCCAGAUGUGGAAGCCCGGUAACGGGUGGAGCUGACUGGUACUAAUAGGCCGAGGGCUUGUCCUCAGUUG